rnacentral:snRNA from 1 species
AUGGUUUGGUUAAAUAAAAAAAAAUAAAAAUAAAUAAAAAUAAAAAUCUGUUCUUAUCAGUUUAAUAUCUGAUACGUCCCCCAUCGGGGGACUACAUAUUAAAUGGAUUUUUCGAACAGGGAGUCGGAAAUGGGGCUUGCUCCGUCCGCUCCACGCAUCGACCCGGUAUUGCAGUACCUCCGGAACGGUGCAACACUU